rnacentral:rRNA from 1 species
UAAGCUUUGAUCCAGAGAUUUCCGAAUGGGGAAACCCAGCAUGAGUUAUGUCAUGUUAUCGAUAUGUGAAUACAUAGCAUAUCAGAAGGCACACCCGGAGAACUGAAACAUCUUAGUACCCGGAGGAAGAGAAAGAAAAUUCGAUUCCCUUAGUAGCGGCGAGCGAAACGGGAAGAGCCCAAACCAACAAGCUUGCUUGUUGGGGUUGUAGGACACUCUAUACGGAGUUACAAAGGACGACAUUAGACGAAUCAUCUGGAAAGAUGAAUCAAAGAAGGUAAUAAUCCUGUAGUCGAAAAUGUUGUCUCUCUUGAGUGGAUCCUGAGUACGACGGAGCACGUGAAAUUCCGUCGGAAUCUGGGAGGACCAUCUCCUAAGGCUAAAUACUCUCUAGUGACCGAUAGUGAACCAGUACCGUGAGGGAAAGGUGAAAAGCACCCCGGAAGGGGAGUGAAAUAGAACCUGAAACCGUGUGCUUACAAGUAGUCAGAGCCCGUUAAUGGGUGAUGGCGUGCCUUUUGUAGAAUGAACCGGCGAGUUACGAUUUGAUGCAAGGUUAAGCAGUAAAUGUGGAGCCGUAGCGAAAGCGAGUCUGAAUAGGGCGUUUAGUAUUUGGUCGUAGACCCGAAACCAGGUGAUCUACCCUUGGUCAGGUUGAAGUUCAGGUAACACUGAAUGGAGGACCGAACCGACUUACGUUGAAAAGUGAGCGGAUGAACUGAGGGUAGCGGAGAAAUUCCAAUCGAACCUGGAGAUAGCUGGUUCUCUCCGAAAUAGCUUUAGGGCUAGCCUCAAGUGAUGAUUAUUGGAGGUAGAGCACUGUUUGGACGAGGGGCCCCUCUCGGGUUACCGAAUUCAGACAAACUCCGAAUGCCAAUUAAUUUAACUUGGGAGUCAGAACAUGGGUGAUAAGGUCCGUGUUCGAAAGGGAAACAGCCCAGACCACCAGCUAAGGUCCCAAAAUAUAUGUUAAGUGGAAAAGGAUGUGGCGUUGCCCAGACAACUAGGAUGUUGGCUUAGAAGCAGCCAUCAUUUAAAGAGUGCGUAAUAGCUCACUAGUCGAGUGACACUGCGCCGAAAAUGUACCGGGGCUAAACAUAUUACCGAAGCUGUGGAUUGUCCUUUGGACAAUGGUAGGAGAGCGUUCUAAGGGCGUUGAAGCAUGAUCGUAAGGACAUGUGGAGCGCUUAGAAGUGAGAAUGCCGGUGUGAGUAGCGAAAGACGGGUGAGAAUCCCGUCCACCGAUUGACUAAGGUUUCCAGAGGAAGGCUCGUCCGCUCUGGGUUAGUCGGGUCCUAAGCUGAGGCCGACAGGCGUAGGCGAUGGAUAACAGGUUGAUAUUCCUGUACCACCUAUAAUCGUUUUAAUCGAUGGGGGGACGCAGUAGGAUAGGCGAAGCGUGCGAUUGGAUUGCACGUCUAAGCAGUAAGGCUGAGUAUUAGGCAAAUCCGGUACUCGUUAAGGCUGAGCUGUGAUGGGGAGAAGACAUUGUGUCUUCGAGUCGUUGAUUUCACACUGCCGAGAAAAGCCUCUAGAUAGAAAAUAGGUGCCCGUACCGCAAACCGACACAGGUAGUCAAGAUGAGAAUUCUAAGGUGAGCGAGCGAACUCUCGUUAAGGAACUCGGCAAAAUGACCCCGUAACUUCGGGAGAAGGGGUGCUCUUUAGGGUUAACGCCCAGAAGAGCCGCAGUGAAUAGGCCCAAGCGACUGUUUAUCAAAAACACAGGUCUCUGCUAAACCGUAAGGUGAUGUAUAGGGGCUGACGCCUGCCCGGUGCUGGAAGGUUAAGAGGAGUGGUUAGCUUCUGCGAAGCUACGAAUCGAAGCCCCAGUAAACGGCGGCCGUAACUAUAACGGUCCUAAGGUAGCGAAAUUCCUUGUCGGGUAAGUUCCGACCCGCACGAAAGGCGUAACGAUUUGGGCACUGUCUCAACGAGAGACUCGGUGAAAUCAUAGUACCUGUGAAGAUGCAGGUUACCCGCGACAGGACGGAAAGACCCCGUGGAGCUUUACUGUAGCCUGAUAUUGAAAUUCGGCACAGCUUGUACAGGAUAGGUAGGAGCCUUUGAAACGUGAGCGCUAGCUUACGUGGAGGCGCUGGUGGGAUACUACCCUAGCUGUGUUGGCUUUCUAACCCGCACCACUUAUCGUGGUGGGAGACAGUGUCAGGCGGGCAGUUUGACUGGGGCGGUCGCCUCCUAAAAGGUAACGGAGGCGCUCAAAGGUUCCCUCAGAAUGGUUGGAAAUCAUUCAUAGAGUGUAAAGGCAUAAGGGAGCUUGACUGCGAGACCUACAAGUCGAGCAGGGUCGAAAGACGGACUUAGUGAUCCGGUGGUUCCGCAUGGAAGGGCCAUCGCUCAACGGAUAAAAGCUACCCCGGGGAUAACAGGCUUAUCUCCCCCAAGAGUUCACAUCGACGGGGAGGUUUGGCACCUCGAUGUCGGCUCAUCGCAUCCUGGGGCUGUAGUCGGUCCCAAGGGUUGGGCUGUUCGCCCAUUAAAGCGGUACGCGAGCUGGGUUCAGAACGUCGUGAGACAGUUCGGUCCCUAUCCGUCGUGGGCGUAGGAAAUUUGAGAGGAGCUGUCCUUAGUACGAGAGGACCGGGAUGGACAUACCUCUGGUGUACCAGUUGUCGUGCCAACGGCAUAGCUGGGUAGCUAUGUGUGGACGGGAUAAGUGCUGAAAGCAUCUAAGCAUGAAGCCCCCCUCAAGAUGAGAUUUCCCAACUUCGGUUAUAAGAUCCCUCAAAGAUGAUGAGGUUAAUAGGUUCGAGGUGGAAGCAUGGUGACAUGUGGAGCUGACGAAUACUAAUCGAUCGAAGACUUAAUCAA